UUUUUUUUUUUUUUCCUGGAGGUCUCAUUGUGUAGACAUGAUGGGUUAUUAAGUCAAUUGCUAGCCCCUCUCCCCUCCUGGAGGUUGAGAAUGAGGCUAAAAGUGCCAGGCUUCUAAUCAAGAUGUGGUCUUUCUGGCAACAUGCCCCAUCCUGAAGCUAUCUGGGGACCCACUGCAGGUACCUCAUGAGAACAGAAAACAUUCCUUGCAUCCCCAUCACUCAGCAAUGCAGUCCCUGCUGUAGCCCAGUGGGUUAAUGAGCCGGCUUGUCUGUGGCUUUGCUGGUUUACAGGGGGUUAAGAAUCCAGUAUUGCUGCUGCUGUGGCAUAGGCUGCAGCUCCAGCUCAGAUUUGAUCCCUGGCCCGGGAACUUCCAUAUGCUGCAGGUGAAGCCAAAAAAAAAAAUUUUUUUUUUACUUCCUAUCACUCAGGAAAUUCCAAAGGAUUUAGGAAUUCUGCGUCAGGAACUGGAAAUAUAUUUCUAAUUAUGCGACACCCACCAUUGGACCAAUAUAAAUACUUGAUCUAUUUGAUCUGAGAAUAAUAUUCUUGGUCAUGGCAUCUAAACGGAAAUAUGUCAAUGGUCUAUAAAUAACUGCUCAGAUCUGCUGUGCCAGGUAUUUUGUAACAGCUCACUCACUUCCCUGGGUAUUACCUUCAGAAGACCAUUAGCUUCCAAAGAACAGAGCUGAUGAUUUUUUUGGUCUUUGUUUUGGCAAAUGCUUAGCACAGUUCUUAGCACAGAGUAGGUCCUCAAUAAAUGUUUCCCAAGUGCACUGACGAACACCAUGUGUUAUGCACUGACUGCCUGGGUCCCCUUCCUGAUUUGUAUGUGGAAAUCCGAACCCCUAACGUGAUAGUAUUAGGAGGUAGAGUCCUUGAGAGAGAGCGAGGUCGUGACUAUGUCUCACUCUCCGUGGACGGGAUCCGUGCCCUUAGAAGAAGGGGGAACAGCCUGCAGGCACCCACCAAGGAAGGCCAGGGGAGAAUACAACCCACGGAAGAGGGCCAACAAGGACUCAGCCAGGCUGGCACCCUGGUCUCCAACUUCCAGCCUGAGAAAUAAAUGCCUGUUUGGGCCCCAUCUGUAGCAUAUGGAAGUUCCCAGGCUAGGGGUCAAAUGAGAGCUAGAGCUGGCGGUCUCUGCAGCUGUAGCUCCGAUGCCAUGCAGGCCACAGCAACACUGGAUCCGAGCUGCAGCUGUGCCCUACGCCACACCUCAUGGCAACGCCGGAUCCUUAACUCACUGAGCAAGGCCAGGGAUCGAAGCCCCAGCCUCAUGGAGACUAUGUCGGGUUCUUAAGCCACUGAACCACAAUGGCAACGCCAAUGCCUGUUGUUUCCACCACUCAUCCCGUUGUGUUUGUUACAGCAAUCCGAGAUGACGGAGACAUUAUAGAAGCACCUUAGUAAGAUACAGUCCAAUCCCUCAAGGAGCUUGUAAUCCAUUUAGGAAGAAAAUAGAGACGCAAAAUACCUAAAUGUUAAUUAUCUGCAAAACCCUCAUGGGAGAGAGGUGCUCAGACUUCGGGGGUAACCUGGGUUCUGAGCACACUGGCUGUGUGCCCCUUGGAGAGUUACUCCACCUCUCUGAGUUUUCCUGUCACUUUCUGUGAAGGGUGGCUAUGAGAAGUAGAUAAUCCACAUAAAGUGCUAAGAUCAGUGCUUGGAACACAGAAAAUGCUAUCAAUUUAAACCCCAAAGAGGGUAUGAUUUUUUGUGCUGAGUAGCACUGAUGUCAAGGCUGAAGUGUUUGUUUGGGUUAAUAAGAAACAAGAUAAAUAAUGAGAUGACGGAAUGCAUGCACGGUUUGGCAUCCCGUGAAUCCUGGAGGCUUGACAGCAAUCCGCCCAGAGGUCUCCUGUCUUCAAAAGAGCAACUGGCAUUGGCAGCCCCCUCCAAGACACAGGGACCUUGGCUGGGUCCUCCCUGGGUCCCUGCUGUGGAGUGGCAGCUUGGCAAGGAUCCAGGGCAUGGCUGCGCCUGAACCACCUCCAAGAAGCCACUCACUCUGCUUCUGGCUGGAGGGUGGUUUGGGUGACCACGAGUGCCAAUUUUAGCUGGGCGCUGGCCACGUGUUGGCAGAGAGGCUCUGGGAAAAUGUGACCUCUUGUUUCAUUAAAUCCUGCCUGGGCCCAUCGCCAGAGCUGGCUUUUGGCCCCUGCCAUGGAGCUGGUGCAGCGCAAUGAAGCAGUGGCUGCUUCUCAGGCAGACUGAUUCACUCGCCUGGGGUCCUACACAGGUGAUUAGUGACAAGGAGGCCACCGCUGCCCACCUCACUUCUCCUGCAGCUGGAACGUGGUGCCCUCCCAGCACGUUCCCUUGUUGUCUUGGCAAUACCAAGCUUUUCAAAAGCUUCAACAAGGCUCAGAGCCAGUCCAGCCUGCCUCUCUCAGUCUCACCCCAACCCCUUCCAACCAUAGUAUCAAAGGGAGGUUGUACUUCCAAAAAUCCAGUUGGGGGAGUCCAGCUUCUCCAUAAAGGUGGUGUGUGAAGCCCCUGACACAUGAAAUUCUUCAACCGCGCUGCAAAUGCUACUGACACAUUUCUAGAUCAUGACACUAUCGCAUAACCUGGACCUGAUUAUGGGGUGAAGUGCCCAUCUUCCAAUGCUUGUCUUUGCGCUCCAAGUCAAGUUCAAUUCAGCCUGCUGCUCUUCCCCUCAAUCAUCUUUUAUUUCUUUUCUCUAUUUGUGGAAUAUGUCACUUAAAUUGGAAUUUAUCCAAUAUCUUCUGUUUGGUGGAUGGAGGCAGAAGGUCAUGAUGACGGAGUCUGAGUUGGAAUCUCAGCCUCAUCGUUUACUAACAGGUGACCUGGAGCAAGUUCCAUAAACUCUCUGAUGCCUUAUCUGUAAAAAUGGGGCUUUUAUGAAGCACAAAUGAGAUCGUAUGUGUAAAAGACUUCAGAGAGCACCUGAAACGUAGGAAACACUCAUUGAAUGGUUGCCACUAAUAUUCUUUUUGUGUUGUUUUGCUUUCUAGGGCUGCACCUGCAGCAUAUGGAGGUUCCCAGCCUAGGGGUCGAAUCAGAGCUACAGCAGCUGGCCUACACCCCAGCCACAGCACCUCGGGAUCCAAGCCACGUCUGUGACCUACGCCACAGCUCAUGCCAACGCUGGAUCCUUAACCCACUGAGCAAGGCCAGGCAUCAAACCUGCAUCCUCAUGGACAGUGGUCAGAUUUGUUUCUGCUGAGCUGCAAGGGAACUCCACCAAUAAUAUUCUUAUUCCCAAAGCCUCUGGUCAAUCAUUCAUGUCAUUACCCCUUUUCUUUCUUUAGCUCCACUCCUUACAAACAUAACAGGCAUUUAGUUCAUUCACUUAUCAGACUUUUUAAUGGAAAAGUUAAGUACUUUAAAAAAAAAAAAAAA
rnacentral:lncRNA from 1 species